UGGGGAAUAUUGGACAAUGGGCGAAAGCCUGAUCCAGCAAUGCCGCGUGAGUGAUGAAGGCCUUAGGGUUGUAAAGCUCUUUUACCCGGGAUGAUAAUGACAGUACCGGGAGAAUAAGCUCCGGCUAACUCCGUGCCAGCAGCCGCGGUAAUACGGAGGGAGCUAGCGUUGUUCGGAAUUACUGGGCGUAAAGCGCACGUAGGCGGCUCAGCAAGUCAGGGGUGAAAUCCCGGGGCUCAACCCCGGAACUGCCUUUGAAACUGCUAAGCUAGAAUCCUGGAGAGGCGAGUGGAAUUCCGAGUGUAGAGGUGAAAUUCGUAGAUAUUCGGAAGAACACCAGUGGCGAAGGCGACUCGCUGGACAGGUAUUGACGCUGAGGUGCGAAAGCGUGGGGAGCAAACA
rnacentral:rRNA from 1 species